GGUGGCACUUUACAGCAAAACGAAACGAAAUGUCUUGAAGUUGAAAGAUGGAUUUCAAUGUUGGCGUUUUUUCAGAGAAAUCUUCGAUUUUAAUUGAUGGUGGAGAUAGAUUUGGUGUGUCCGCAAUUCAUUGGGACCUUCAGGAAGAGCUGCUUUGGGUUGGUAAUCAAGGAGGACAUGUCACUAGUUAUUAUGGCUCUUCUCUACACAAAUACACAUCAUUCCAAGUUCAUGCAUCUCAAGAAGUCAGACAGAUGAUUUCUUUUGAUGCUGGUUUACUUAUAGUAACCCCAAACACUCUUAGAUGCCAACAAAGGAGAGGUGUCCCAUUAUUCACUUACAGCUCAAGUACUUGUGAAGAUCUACAAUGCUUGUUACAAACAGGGCCCACAACAGUUCUACUUGGAGGACACCAACCGCUGGUAGUAGAAUUUGACCUUGUGACAGCGAAGGAAACAACAAAAUUUGAUGUAGGAGAAAAGGGAUGUGCAAUUCUGAGACGACACCCUAGAUUUAUCUGCUCAGGUGACGCUAGUGGAUGCGUAUCAUUAAGAGAUCCUCGAACUUUACGUGAAGAGCAUAAAUUUGUAGCACAUACUGAAAGCCUUUCAGAUUUUGAUGUUCAUAACAACUUGAUUGUGACUUGUGGGUUUUCAUCCAGGCAGGGAGGUGUGGUUUCGGAUCGCUUUUUGAAAAUUUACGAUGUUAGAAUGUUACGAGCUCUCAGUCCAGUUCCUGUGGUCGGAGAACCAUUUCUAUUGCGGUUCUUACCAGCAUUCUCGUCCCAAUUGGCGGUUAUCUCUGCCAUGGGACAGUUACAGGUUCUUGAUGCAGCUGCUCCUGCAUCUUCAGCUCUUCAACUUUUCCAAGUGAAUAACGAGGGUGCUAUGUGCAUGGCUCUUGAAGUUUCAUCUUCUUGCCAAUGCUUAGCUGUGGGGGAUGCCGGUGGAUAUGUUCACACCUUUGCAUCAAACGCAUCAGCUUUAUUUAACAGCUUUUCUCGACCGACGGAAUUUGCCGAUCCAGUAGAAUCCCUUCCGGUUUCGAUCGCCAUGGACGAUACUACGACGCCACUCACUUCAAUCCCUUUCCCCUUAGAACACAAUUCGCCGCUGCUAUCAGAUUGGCCGGAACAGUUUACCCGCAGGAGAUUCCGUAAAGUUCCACCUAUUGAUCAUGCUAUUCUGUCAAAUAUGCGCAUGGUAGGCACUAUUGGUUAUGCUCCAAGUCCAGCUGAUCAUAGACCUAAUCAAGUGGCCUACUCAGCCGAAAAACGAACACAACGUGGUCAGAAACAUUCGGGAACGGAUUCAACACAUUCAAAGGAAGAUACUGAAUGCUAUCAAGUGUGGAAACGAUAUCGUCAUAUCGAGAUGAGGUACACAAAGGGUGGCCUUGACGAAAAUGAGUUAGCUCGUUACAAUUCCACGCCCCUCUGCGGUUUGGAUAAUACACUUCCUUAUUCAUAUGCAAACUCUUUGCUGCAGGUGUUAUAUUUCAUUCCGGAAUUACGUCAUUGUCUUCUUGAGCAUUCCUGCAACCGAGAAUUUUGUCUUGCCUGUGAGCUGUCAUUCCUUUUUCAUAUGCUGGAUGUUGGUAGAAAUCAAGAUCCUACUAGUACUCCAGUUACAGUCCAACCAUCUAAUUUUCUUCGGGCUUUCCGCACUCUUCCCGAAGCUUCGGCAAUGGGACUGUUGAUGGCAGAAAAUCAUCCUGAAAUAAAGAUAAAAAGUACACUUCCUAGGCUUGCUCAGAGCUGGGCUCGUUUUAUUCUUCAACAACUUAGCAGCGAAACCUUGCCUCAAAGCAAGAUAACAAAAGAAUCGACCACAAUUACAAGUAAUUUAGUAGAAUUUAACGGAGAAGGUACGGAAAAUUCUAUUAAACCGGAAAGAGAUGUUUCACCUUCUGAGGAUGGUCUGUCACCAGUGUCUCCUAUCUCUAAACUGUUUGGUGUUGAACAAGAGCAGAUUAGCCGCUGCACAAAAUGUGGAAGCGAAAAUUCUAAAACUUCGCCUGUGCUUCUCUCUUCCCUUACUCUGCAAGAUGUGGAGGAUGAACACAGCUUCGAACAUGUACUUGAAAAGAGUUUUGACGUAGCAAGUGUGACUCCGGCCUGGUGUGAAGUUUGUCAAAAAUAUCAAGCAACUCAGCAAAGAAGACGUUGUCUAACAUUACCGCCAGUUCUUGCUCUGUCCUGUGCUAACGAUACCUAUAAAGGUUUUCGAUUUUGGUCAGAUCAACUACAAUGUUUUUUAGACCCUGAACUAUUCGAUGGAUCAGAUUUGACAGAAGGGGCGUCCGUCCAGUCUGGGCAAGGAAAGCCUUGUAGAUAUGGGCUUGAAUGCACACGGCCGAACUGUAAGUUUGGACACGGAGGACAACCUUUGAGGCAUAGUGCAAGCUUUACAGGAAUAUCUUCAAAUCAUUGGGUCCCGUCUCAGCUCCGUUUUAAAGUUCAACCGGAAGGAGGACUUGUUUGUCUGAAACCCGAUCAAAAUCAGGAAGGGUUUUUAUCGUAUUCUCUUGUUGCUGCGGUAUGUUGGAUUGACGAAUCCAAACUGGAUGCAAAACACCAUGGAAAAUGGCACUUAGUUUCAACAAUUCAAAUUCCUCCUGGUUAUUUAUCUUCAGAAACUUCUCCAGAAGAGAACAACUCCAGCAAUUGGUACGUCUUUAAUGAUUUUGCUGUUAAUCCUAUCAACCCGGACGAGGCAAUUUCUUUUUUUCCUGAUUGGAAACUUCCGUGUCUCUUGUUUUAUUCAAAGAAUGAAACAACAAAUUGUUCCAUCUUAACUGAUCGACCUUUAAGCAAUCCAAUCACUGCUGACGUGUUUAAAGAGGACAAAUCGUUGGCUCAGAAAUCGGAGUGCUUGCAAAGAAUAUCAUUUCUUCCGCUGGCGACGGACGAGAUGCCCGGAAAUGGGGAUUUAGUGGCCAUGGACGCCGAAUUCGUCACGCUGAAUCAAGAAGAAGCCGAAUUGCGCAGCGACGGGAAAUCAACCACUGUACGACCAAGUCAAAUGUCGGUUGCUCGCGUCACUGUUAUCAGAGGGUAAAAGCUAUUGAACUUGCAACAUAUUCUUCAACUUCAUAUUUCGUGUCAACACUACCUAAAUGUGGUUAUUGGGCUAUAAGCUUGGCUUCGCAGCAACGGUUUAUCUUGGACGAGUAUUGAAUAUUCGAGUCAAGGUAACAUGGAAGGGUUACCUUUUAUCGACGACUACAUCGCCACUCAAGAUCAAGUAGUUGACUACUUGACGAAAUUUUCUGGGAUCCAGC
rnacentral:misc_RNA from 1 species